AUUCCAGCUCCAAUAGCGUAUAUUUAAGUUGUUGCAGUUAAAAAGCUCGUAGUUGGAUUUCGGUUUUUCUCUUCCUUUCCUCCUUUUUUUUUUCCCUGGCUGUUCUCCCCUUCCUGCGGAGGACGCGCUCUGGGCUUAACGGUCUGGACGUGGAGUCCGCGUGGUUACUUUGAAAAAAUUAGAGUGUUCAAAGCGGGCUUACGCUUGAAUAUUUCAGCAUGGAAUAACACUAUAGGACUCCUGUCCUAUUUCGUUGGUCUCGGGACGGGAGUAAUGAUUAAGAGGAACAGUUGGGGGCAUUCGUAUUUCAUUGUCAGAGGUGAAAUUCUUGGAUUUAUGAAAGACGAACUUCUGCGAAAGCAUUUGCCAAGGAUGUUUUCAUUA
rnacentral:rRNA from 1 species